GACAAUUCAAAAGGAAGCAAUUCAGUUUCCUGGCAUGGCACUGGUAUACUGUCCAGGUUUCAUAGGCAUACAGUAAUGAGGUCAGCAAAACGACUCUGUAGACCUUCAGUUGGUAGGCAGUCGAAUACCUCUCCUCUUUCAUAUUUCCUUCCGAGCCUCCCAGACACUGAGCUGGCUUUGGCAAUGUGUGCAUCAACUUCAUCAUCCAUGUAUAUACCCCUGGAAAGUAUACUAUCAAGGUUGUAAUGAAUGGAGUGAAGAGGCAAAUCAAAUAAGAAAGAGAAGAGCCCUGCUGCUUGAGGGAGAUAUGGGACAAAGGUAACAAACAACAAAGAGAAGGUAGAGCCACUCAGCUGUUUGCCUCUGCAUUGCCUAGCAAGAGGAAUGGCCUUGGUAAUGGAAAUGACUGAGCAAAACUGGCUGAUACUAACUGGGAGUUGAUGCACAAGAUAUGUAAACAGAUAGGAAGCUCCUGAUGGAUUCAAGUCACUUAGGCCAGGUUCAUGAACCUUCUGAGAUCUAUCCACAGGUCCCAGGUUGAGAACCCCUGAACUCCAUGAUGGCAAGAACUGAAAAUCCUUGAUGCAGUAUGCUGAUAAGCCUAGCUAGGCCAAGACUGCCCCCUCAACAUUUAGCAAUGCAAUUGUAGGAAGAAGAGCAGGAAAGAAAUACAGACCUCCUAGCUGUGGAGAGAGCAAUGGAGUCCAAAGACCUGGGUUCAAAUUCCAGCUCUGCCAUUGAUGAGGUUG